rnacentral:lncRNA from 10 species
GAAGCUCCUGAUGGUCCUCACACUCCUACAGUGACCUUCUUCACUCAUUAGCCAGGAGUUGAAGCUGAAAGAAAUGUAGCAUAAUAUCUCAAAUGCUUGCUUUGCAUUUUUUAUAUUCAUUGAUUCAACAAUUAUUUACUGAGCACUAUAUUGCAUUUUAGGAAUGGCAUUAGGUACUGGAGAUAUGGGCUAACACACAUUUCUUGGCUACCCAUUAUAGAUAAUUACAUGAGAAACACAAAAUAUGCAUAGAAGGACCCUAAUUUCGAGUCAAACAACCCAGGAAGAAGACUUCUCUAUAGCUAUCUUUAUACUUUAUAUUAAUCUUUUUCUUUGUAUUUUAUGUUCAUCUUCUUCUUCCUGAAAUGAGAAGGGAAGGAAAAUAGAAUUCUAGAAAUAACCUUACAGCUGCCCUUCACUCUAUGGAAAAAGUGAGCUCUUGACAGGAAAGGGGUUCUAUCCAUGAUCUUACAAUUCCUAAACAGCAACAGCAUCAUGGACGUAUUUGUUCCUGGCGUCAUAAGCCUGCAUACGGUAGGCAUUCAGUUAAUAGGUACUGAUUGGUCUAACAGAGGAAGCUGGGCUUGAUUAUAAAAUAAACUAGGCUAUGAAAUCAUGCCUCCUAAAAGCUCAUUAAAGGCAGCAACACGGGAUGGGGACUGUAAGGAAGUUGUCUCCCACCUGCCUCCCUCCUCAGACACACAUCAUUCCGCAGAUGUGAAAACGACCCAGACUCUGCCCGCAUGUGGCCUCCCGGACCGGGCAGUAGGGCCUUGCCCCUACCCUCAUGAAGACUGUCGGCUGUGUUACAGAACUGCUGCUCUGUCUCUGACUCCCCUCACUCCCAUGCUCUGUUGGAAACUCAAGUUGUGAAACCACAAAACACAGAAAGGAAGUGGUCAACUAUUGCACAUACUCAAGCUAUGUAGUCUCAGUUUAUUCCAUUCUUGCAGGAUCAUUGUAGGAAGGCAUAAGAGUCCUGCUUACUGGUGAGCCACUGAACACAAACUCCCUUCUCACCUCUGCCUUGGAUCCCGCCAUGCCUGAGGUCUAGGGCUAGAAGCGUUGUUUCAUCCACAUUAAUUCCGGUCUUGGGCAACGUGGCUAUUUUCUGACCUGUCUGUCUUCCCACCCUAGUGGUGAAUUCUCUUUCUGGGAUCUCAACUCCUUCUCCUGUCACCCAGCUUUUUCCGAGCAACCCCAGUCCAUCUGGCAUAUCAUUAGAAUGUUAAACCUAAAACGGUAAGCCAUUCUGUGAAUACCUUUAAGUAACAGGAUAUUAAAAUGAGACUUUUCCUGUUUUCUCAGUGCUAGCUGACAUCUUUGAGCUGAGAAAAAAAAAUAUUGUUAAAAAUGCUCAUCUAUUCUCAGGAGAUGUCAUCUGCUAAGGAGUGACCAAAAAAAUGGUCCAAUAACCCUGAAACCAUCGCUCAAAUCUUAGCUACGCAAGGGGAGACUUGUAAAUUAAUGAGGACGGCAAGGAUUUCAUGAGACAGAGCUUUCAGGCUGCUAAAAUGCUUCCUCCUCCCUUCUCAUGUGUUUUCCCCUCAUCUUACGCAAAUAAGAGGGGGCCUUCAGAGAAUUACUUGGAGAGCUGACCUAGGACCCCUAGGCUUUGGGGAACAUAGAAUGUAUUAGUGUCUAUUGCUGCUGAAACAAAUUAGCACACAUUUAACAGCUUAAAAAUAGCAAAAUUACUACCUCACAGUUCUGUAGGUUAGAAGUCCAGUGGGCGCGGCUGGUGUGUGGGCUUCAAGCCUCACAGGGCUGAAAUCAAGGUGUUGGCCAGGCUGUACUCCCUCCUAGAGGCUCUAAUGAAGCAUCUGUUUCCAGGCCUCUGCGCCUUGUUGGCGGAAUUCAGUUCAAUUUGCCUGAUGGACUGAGGUCCCUGCUUCCCUGCGGGCUGUCGGCGGGAACUGCCACUGGCUCCUUGCAGCCUCUCUCUGAUUCUUGCACAAGGGCACCUACAUCUCAGAGCCAGCGAGAGUGUGAGUGUGUGGAAUCCUUCUCACGAGGCCUCAUCUCUCUGACUUUCGUCGGGAAAUGUUCUCUGCUUUUAAAGGAUCAUGUAAUUAUUUUGAGCCUACCCGAUAAUCCAGGAUAAUCCCCUCAUCUAAAAAUCUGUUACCUUAACCACAUCUGCAAAGUCCCUGUUGCCGUGUAAUGUAAGCUAUUCACAGGUUCUGGGGAUUAGGAAAAGGACAUCUUUGGUGGGGGCCUUAUUCAGCCUACCACAUAGAGAUUAGUACCUGAAAAGCCAGCAGGUGAGAAGCUAGACAGAGCAGCCGGUGGCAGCUAAAGGAGAAAGGGGGCGAGAGCUGGAGAAGUCGCACUUCCGCCGAUGGCGCAGCAAAGGGGAUGUUGCCCUGGAGGACUCAGGGAACGGAACUGGGCUAUCAGCCGAGAAUGGGGCUCCACUCAAAAGGAGGAACCAACAGGAGACACAAGGAACCCCAGCAGGAAGAAGUCGGAGAUGGAGGAGGGGAAGUCAUAGCUGGAGGAGACGUGUGUUAGGAAGCUACAAUGGCAGCUCCCUAGUGGAGGUGUUUCGGAAAAACUCCGAAGAUUCCACUUGAGAAAAUCAUCGGCCUUCAGACAACGUCUAUGCCAGAUAAUGCUACCAAAUCACAACCUUGCCUUUCCUCCCUACUGCUGUUCUGAUGUGGGAGGACCCAAAGGCAGCAGAAGAGCCAAAGAAGAGUAGCAGAAAGGCAUAUCCACAGCUCUUCAAAUAAGCAAUGUGAUGUUAGCAAAAGUGCAGGGGCUCCUUGAGAACUUUCCAGGGCUAACCAGCUGCUGAGGAGUGGCCUCCAGGAAAGAGAGAAGCACUCUGAUUCAGGCAGUGAUUUACACCUAAAAUACCAACUCCAUCAUAUCUUCAGAACAAUUCUUCUAGACCUUGCAUCUAAAUAUGGAGUCAUUAACUAACAACGAACAAAACCUCUGGAUGGCCGAAGGACCUAGGCUAUACAGAAAGCUGUGAAUUACCAAUGAGAACGCAGUGAGUCAAAAGAAUAAUGGAAUUAAAUAAGUUCAGAGGCUUUAAGUGUUUCUUAAAACACUUAUCUAUGAACCCCUAAUCUUAGUCAUUUCUGGCACAGUUGUUAUUCAUAAGCAUUUGAUCAUCAUUCAUAGAAGACUGAACAAAUUAACACAAUGGAUUGUCUUGGAGAUGAAGGGGCAGUGUACUAUUCCAUUUAGCUUGUUCAGGGAACUUGAGUCAAAUCCCUUGAGUGUUCACUCCAUCAGAUAGUCCAUGAAAUGCUGAUGAAGAUAUAACAAUUAUCCAUAAAGUUAGAGUG